GGCAUUGGCGGCAGCUACCAUGCAGUCGGACGGUAGCACAGAGGAGCUUGCUCCUUGGGUGACGAGUGGCGGACGGGUGAGUAGUGUCUGGGGAUCUGCCCGAUAGAGGGGGAUAACCACUGGAAACGGUGGCUAACACCGCAAAACGUCGCAAGACCAAAGAGGGGGACCUUCGGGCCUCUCACUAUCGGAAGAACCCAGAUGGGAUUAUCUAGUACGCGGGGUAGUGGCCCACCUAGGCCACGAUCCCUAUCUGGUCUGAGAGGAUGACCAGCCACACUGGAACUGAGACACGGUCCAGACUCCUACGGGAGGCAGCAGUGGGGAAUAUUGCACAGUGGGCGCAAGCCUGAUGCACCCGUGCCGCGUGUAUGAAGAAGGCCUUCGGGUUGUAAAGUACUUUCAGCGGGGAGGAAGGCGACGGGGUUAAUAACCCUGUCGAUUGACGUUCCCCGCAAAAGAAGCACCGGCUAACUCCGUGCCAGCAGCCGCGGUAAUACAGAGGGUGCAAGCGUUAAUCGGAAUUACUGGGCGUAAAGCGCACGCACGCGGUCUGUUAAGUCAGAUGUGAUAUCCCCGGGCUUAACCUGGGAACUGCAUUUGAAACUGGCGCGCUUGAGUCUUGUAGAGGGGGGUAGAAUUCCGGGUGUAGCGGUGAAAUGCGUAGAGAUCUGGAGGAAUACCGGUGGCGAACGCGGCCCCCUGGACAAAGACAGACUCUCAUGUGCGAGAGCGUGGGGGAGCACACGGGAUUAUAUACCCUGAUACUCCACGCCAUACACGAUCUCGACUUUGGAUGUUGUUCCCGUGAAGAGUGUCUUCCAGAGCUAACGCGUUAAGUCGACCGCCGUGGAGUAGUACGGCACAAUGUUAAAACUCAUAUGAAUUGACGGGCGCCCGCACAGCUGUAGAGCAUGUGUUUUAUUUCGAUGCACGCGAGAUCUUACCUACUCUGACUUCACGAUUUGGCAGAGAUGCUUUAGUGCCUUCCGAACCGUGAACGUGCUGCAUGCUGUCCUCACUCGUGUGGAAUGUGGU
rnacentral:rRNA from 1 species